UUAUUUAUAAAGGAGUUAUUAGUUUCAAAUAUUUUUAACAUAAUGAGAUAUGUAAAAUAUAUAUUUUUAUUAUAAAAUUACAUAUUUAUUAGCUUUAUUUUAUGAAUAAAAGAGUUUUUAAUUAAAAAGAUGAAUUGGUCAAAAUUUUUGUCAACUUGCCGCCGCUUAGGUCAAGAGUGCUCUCUUGGGUCUCCUGAAGAAACAGUAUUUUCUGGGGUCGGGAAGAAGAGAAGUGGUGGCUUUCGGGGCUAUGGACGACGGGAAGGAGUUGAGGAAUGACUUGGGGGCUAAGGAUGACGGGAAUGAGAUAGCCCUUCUUGAAGAAGAGUUGAUCCAUUUAUCGGUGAAAAGCUCUAUUGUAGAUCCUUUUGAAAAGCCAACACUGAUUUGUUCUGUUUGGACGAGAAAAAAUUACAAUCUGGACAGCCUGAGAGCACAAGUGAGAAGUAUCUGGAAAACCAAAAAGAAGUUUGAGAUUAUGAUUGCAGGCCAAAAUCUAUUCAAGAUAGUAUUCGAAGAUGAGGAAGACUUAGAGCAGAUUAUGAAUGGGCGACCAUGGUUCUUUCGAAAGCAAUUAAUUAUUUUUGAUCGUUUAACAAAAUUAGUAGAGCGAAACAAGAUCUGAUUGGUUUCUUCACUGUUUUGGCUAAAGAUCGGCCCAUGCCCAUCUGAGUGUGAUAAAAAGGAUCUGAUGCAUGCUGUGGGGUCCACGUUUGGGGGAAUUAUUCAUUCUAAGAUCAAAGGUGAUUUUUGUCGUAUUAGAGUUCAUCUAGAUGUUUAAAAACCACUUAGAAAAGGGAUUUUUGUCUCUCUAAACGACCAAGAUAAAGCCUGGCUUCUUUUCAAAUAUGAGUGUCUCCUAACGUUUUGCUUUGGGUAUAGUCACAUGGGUUACGGGAUUAAAGAUUGUCUAAUGUUAUCAGAGGGGGAUCGCAGCAAGGCGGAGGAUGAACUUCCUUUCUCGGUAGCACUUAAGGCAGAAUUGUCAGAUUAGGCAGGGAGAGCUUACUGUUUGGUUCUUUGCAGAAGAAAAUAAUGAAAAAAUGUUACUACAUCGGUUAGGAGGUAGCGGGUAAAGUUGAUAGUGUUUCAAUAGAUUCUGUACAACAGAUGCAUCGGAUGGUGAAAGAAGUUGGUUUAGAGAAGUCCUUUGAUCUUAGGGAAAUAGGGAUUUUGCGGCAAAAAUUUAGGGAUAAUGAAACAAAUUUUUAUCCUCAUAAUAUGCCGAGAGAAGUGGAAGAAAACUCCAGUAGGGAUCACUGUCGUGAGGGAAAUAGGUCAAAUUAAAUUUCUGAAUCAAACAGGCAAAUCGAACUGAUUGAGGCCUAACAAUUGAGUCAAAAGAAAUAUAGCUGGAGGCGCUUUUCUAGUAAAGAAUCUUUUGAUGCAAACAUGGCUGGGAUGAUAAUGGGGAAGCGAAAAUUUAAUCACGAGAAAUUGGAUGAUAUUGAAGCAUACCUUUCGGAUGAUGUUAAAACAAAAAGGGCAAAUUUUGACAGCAUAUGUUCGGCAGAUUUUGCAACAACUGAGCCUUCAUGCUUUGUUUUAACAGAUGUUAGUGACCCUUCACAAAUUAUAUCGACGGCUACCAAAUGGCAAGCCGACUGAAAACAAUGAAACUCUUAUGCUGAAAUGUCCGGGGAUUGGGGAAUCCCCGGGCUAUCAAGAGGCUUCACCACAUGUUAAAGCUUUACAAACCCCAAAUGGUCUUCUUAAUGGAGACAAAGCUGGAUCAAAACAGAAUGGAACGUGUUCGAAAGCGCUGUGGGUUUUAUAAUGGGCUGGAUGUUUCAGCUUUUAGUUCAAGGGGAGGUCUAAGCUUGGCUUGGAAUGGGAAUUUUUUAAUUCAAGUUCGUAGUUACUCAACUAAUCAUAUUGACGCUGAGGUUUAUGAAGAUGAUGACUCAAUUAAAUAUAGAUUUACCGGGUUUUAUGGGAACCUACGACAAGCAAAUAGACAAGAAUCUUGGAAUCUCUUUAGAAGAUUACGAAGCACCUAUACUUUGCCGUGGUGUGUAGGAGGUGAUUUUAACGAAAUAAUGUACACUCAUGAGAAAAAAGGGGGAGCAACAAGAGAUUGACGAUAAAUAGAGGAAUUUAGGCAAGCUCUGACAGACUGUGAAUUGGUUGAUAUGGGUUUCAAAGGGAAAAAAGUUGGGAAAGGGAAAUUUUGAGAGCACAAAUGUUAGAGAAAGACUUGAUAGGAGUGUGGCGAAUAGUGAAUGGUUAAACUUGUUUCACGAUUUCUCUGUUACCCAUCUUCCUCACUCUUAUUCUGACCAUUGUCCACUUUUUAUACAAACAGAGCUUAAUGAAUAUCCAGCUGGAAAGAAGAGGUUUAAAUUCGAAUCUUGGUGGAUACUGGAACCGUCUUGUGAAGAUGCCAUCAAGAAAUUGUGGACUAAAAAGUCAGGAGAUGCGCUGGAAAAAUUAGAUUAUCUUCGAGUUAAUCUUCAAAGAUGGGGGAAGACUAUCAAAGGAGAGCGUGAUAAAAGAUCGAAGGCUUUACGGAAAAGAUUGGCUAAAUUAGAAGGUAUGAAUAGGAAUGAUGAUAAUUUAGCUGAGAUGAUAACUGUAAAAUUGGAAUUAAAUUGGGAGAUGGAAAAUGAGGAAUUGUAUUGGGAACAAAGGGCUAGAGCAAAUUGGUUGCGUCAAUGGGAUAAAAAUACGGCUUUUUUCCACAGCAAAACAUCUCAAAGACAUAGGAUAAACAAGAUUUGGGGACUGGAAAACAUGGAAGGAGAUUUAAAAAUAGAGGAUACGAAUAUGGAAAGCAUCAUAAGGGAUUAUUUCAUGGGAUUAUUCCAAUCAAGUGGAGUUGGUGAUACAAACCGUCUUCUUUCGGGGGUUAAAAGGUGUAUUGGAGCGGACAUGAAUCAACUACUAAUAGAGAAAUACAAAGAGGAAGAAGUUGUCGAGGCAAUCAACAGUAUCGGGCCAACAAAAGCCUCCAGACCUGACGGUUUCCCAGUAAUUUUCUUUCAAAAAUAUUGGCACAUAGUGGGGAGGGAAGUCAGCAAUUUCUGCUUGGAAGUACUUAAUAAAGGUAAAUCUUUACAACUGCUGAAUCAUACGAAUAUAGUGUUACUUCCAAAAACGUCUCACCCAAGAAAUCCCACCAAUUUUAGACAUAUUAGUCUAUGCUCGGUGUUCUAUAAAAUCAUAUCAAAAUCUAUCGCAAACAGACUUCAAAAAGUUACGGAUCAUUGUAUCGAUUCUGCUCAAAGUGCGUUCGUUCCGAGAAGACUAAUUUCUGACAACGUACUUCUCGCCUACGAAAUUCUUCACAUUAUGAGAAAUAAAAGGGUGGGGAAAAAAGAUCUUAUGGCACUUAAGAUUGAUAUGAGUAAAGCAUAUGAUAGGGUGGAAUGGAAGUUUUUGGAAAAAAAUGAUGAUCACAAUGGCUUUUGAUGUGCGAUGGGUGGAGUGCAUAAUGCAUUGUAUUAGCACAGUGUCGUAUUCGGUGGUUUUAAAUGGCAUGCCAGGGAUGGUUUUUACUCCAAGAAGAGGCCUAAGGCAAGGGGACCCUUUAAGUCCCUUUCUAUUCCUUUUAUGCAGUGAAGGGCUGUCAACACUUUUAAGGCUUGCAACAGAGGAAGGAGUAUUGAAAGGGAUUAAGGCAAGUAGAAGGGGACCUCAAAUUUCCUAUCUCUUUUUUGCUGAUGACUGUGUUUUAUUUGGAGAAGUGACCGGCAAGGGUAUUGCAACGUUUGAAAAGGUGCUCAAGGAAUACGAAAUUUGUUCUGGAAAAUGUAUUAAUUAUAGUAAGUCAACUGUGUUUUUUAGCUCAAAUACCAUUGAAAAUGUUCGAUCUACCAUAUCGAAUCGUCUAGGACUGAAAAGGGCAAACAAUUCUGAGAAAUACCUAAGCCUACCGAAUAUGGUGGGAAGGAAGGAGCGUUUGGUAUUCCAACAUUUAAAGGAUAGCCUAAAGUUAAAGAUAGACAAUUGGAGUACAAGAUUAUUAUCGCAAGGCGGAAAAGAAGUGUUCAUCAAAGCCGUUUUACAAGCAAUCCCCACGUACACAAUGGCAUGUUUUCUUUUGCCGAAAUCAUUAUGUGAAGAAAUGGAACAAAUCAUCGCAAAAUUUUGGUGGCAAAAAGGUUAUGGGAAACGAGGUAUUCACUGGUGUUUAUGGAGCAAAUUAUGCGAGUUAAAAAAGAGUGGCGGUCUCGGAUUCCGCAAUUUGGCAAAAUUUAAUUUGGCCCUUCUCGCAAAACAAGGCUGGAAAUUAAUUGACGAUUCUAAUUCCCUUUUGGCUAGAACGUUAAAAGUUAAAUAUUAUCCGAAUACUGAUUUUUUAAAUUCAGGUUUAGGUAAUUUACCUUCCUAUACCUGGAAAAGCAUAUGGGCAGCAAAGGGCCUCUUACUAUCGGGAUUGUGCUGGAGGGUGGGGAAUGGCCAUGACAUUCGUAUAGAAGAAGAUGUUUAGGUCCCAAAUGUGCCAGGUCUACUGAUUAACAAAAAGGACAGAAUGCAGAACAUCAUAAUGGUUGCGGAUCUUAUUGACAGUAAUAUCAGAGCAUGGAAAACAGAGUUGAUUUGGAGUACCUUUUCGGAAGUUGAUGUUCCAAAGAUUCUGCAAAUCCCUUUGGCCCAGCGUUCACAAAAUGAUCUUUUGAUAUGGAGGGGUGAAGCAUCGGGUAAAUAUACUGUGCGUAGUGGUUACAAACUACUAUUACAAGGCAAUGAUUACAAUAGUAAUGGUUACAGUUUGCCUGAAAUUACAAAAUGUUACAAGAAACUGUGGAACUGUAAUCUCCCCUCAAAGGUACGUAUUACAGUUUGGAGAGCCACUCUCAACUACCUCCCUACCCUAGUGAAUUUAAGAAUCAAAAGAUUAACGAAUAACGCCAUCUGCCCGAGAUGUAAGCAAGGGCUGGAAACUAGGGAACAUAUUUUUCGCGACUGUGCUGCUGCGAAGGAAAUGUGGAAAAAAUUAAAUUAUGUAUGGUCACUCAAGUUAUCGCAUAUGGACUAUAUGGAGUGGUUUACCUGGGUAUUGUUGCACAGUAAAGAGAAAGAAUGCUACAUCUUUGUCUGUGCCAUUUGGGCUAUCUGGUCGAAUAAGAAUCAAUGGGUACACGGAGGACAUAAGAGAACUAGAACAGAAAUAGCGCAGUUUGUAAUACAGUAUUUACAGGAAUUACAAGAUAUGGAAAGAAAACACCAUGCCAAAUACUCAGUUUUAGAUUCAUGGAAGGCGCCGGAAAGCAGGUUCCUCAAAAUCAAUUUCGAUGCUCCUUUUGAUAAGGGGAAAAAUAUAUCUUGUUCAAGGGUAAUAGUCAAGAACUUUAAAGGUGAUGUAUUGGUUUCAAAAUCGGUCAUCCAUGACAAGAUUUCUUCAAGAUUUGCAGCAGAAGCCUUAGCAUGUUUGCAGGCGGUUAUGGUGGGAAAAGAAUUGGGGAUAAAAUAUGUUAUUUUCGAAGGCGACUCUCUGACAGUUAUAAAAAAAUGAACAAAAAAAAAGAUAAAUCGGUAAUCGGCCCUUAUAUUGAUGAUAUUCAAGAGCAGAAGGCGAAUUUUUAUGGAUGCAAAUUCCAGCAUGCAAAAAGAGCGGCAAAUAGAGCAGCACAUAACCUAGCAUCUGAAGGGUGAAAAUGGGGGUGAAUGCAUACUUUGUUCAUGAGCUUGUUACUCAAGUUCUCACCGAUUCAGAAAUUGAUAGGGGAUGGAGAUGAAGGCCAUCACUGAGUCAACACCAUCUCCAGCAAAUGAGAGAGUAGGAGAAAAAAUUUUAGAUCUCUAUGACUGUUUGUUUCUCCAAGAGUUAAAGUGAGUUUGGAUGGGCGGUGCGUUUACCUGUGGUUAGUGUAAAAACAGCGGUGGCGGUGAGAUUAGAUACUGUAGCGAUACUGUAGCGUGAGACAAAAAGUAAGCUAAACGCACCGCACCGCACCCAAUCGCCCAUCCAAACCCAAACUUAGUCGAUUGGGAU
rnacentral:lncRNA from 1 species